CCGGGCAUGGAUAGACAUUAAGUCGCUUGCUUCGGGAGCAUGGGGUAGGAGGUUCAAAUCCUCUCGCCCCGACCA
rnacentral:tRNA from 1 species